CAACAGGGAUUGCCCUAGUAACGGCGAGUGAAGCGGCAACAGCUCAAAUUUGAAAUCUGGCUCUCGGGCCCGAGUUGUAAUUUGUAGAGGAUGCUUUUGGUGAGGUGCCUUCCGAGUUCCCUGGAACGGGACGCCACAGAGGGUGAGAGCCCCGUCUGGUUGGACACCGAUCCUCUGUAAAGCUCCUUCGACGAGUCGAGUAGUUUGGGAAUGCUGCUCUAAAUGGGAGGUAUAUGUCUUCUAAAGCUAAAUACCGGCCAGAGACCGAUAGCGCACAAGUAGAGUGAUCGAAAGAUGAAAAGAACUUUGAAAAGAGAGUUAAACAGUACGUGAAAUUGUUGAAAGGGAAGCGCUUGUGACCAGACUUGGGCUUGGUUGAUCAUCCAGGGUUCUCCCUGGUGCACUCUUCCGGCCCAGGCCAGCAUCAGUUCGCCCCGGGGGAAAAAGGCUUCGGGAAUGUGGCUCUCUCCGGGGAGUGUUAU
rnacentral:rRNA from 1 species